rnacentral:rRNA from 1 species
AGUGAACGCUGGCGGUAGGCCUAACACAUGCAAGUCGAACGGCAGCACAGUAAGAGCUUGCUCUUACGGGUGGCGAGUGGCGGACGGGUGAGGAAUACAUCGGAAUCUACUUUUUCGUGGGGGAUAACGUAGGGAAACUUACGCUAAUACCGCAUACGACCUACGGGUGAAAGCAGGGGAUCUUCGGACCUUGCGCGAUUGAAUGAGCCGAUGUCGGAUUAGCUAGUUGGCGGGGUAAAGGCCCACCAAGGCGACGAUCCGUAGCUGGUCUGAGAGGAUGAUCAGCCACACUGGAACUGAGACACGGCCCAGACCACUACGGGAGGCAGCAGUGGGGAAUAUUGGACAAUGGGCGCAAGCCUGAUCCAGCCAUACCGCGUGGGUGAAGAAGGCCUUCGGGUUGUAAAGCCCUUUUGUUGGGAAAGAAAAGCAGCAGGUUAAUACCCCGCUGUUCUGACGGUACCCAAAGAAUAAGCACCGGCUAACUUCGUG